rnacentral:rRNA from 1 species
GAUGAACGCUGGCGGCGUGCCUAAUACAUGCAAGUCGAGCGAACGGACGAGAAGCUUGCUUCUCUGAUGUUAGCGGCGGACGGGUGAGUAACACGUGGAUAACCUACCUAUAAGACUGGGAUAACUUCGGGAAACCGGAGCUAACACCGGAUAAUAUUUUGAACCGCAUGGUUCAAAAGUAAAAGACGGUCUUGCUGUCACUUAUAGAUGGAUCCGCGCUGCAUUAGCUAGUUGGUAAGGUAACGGCUUACCAAGGCAACGAUGCAUAGCCGACCUGAGAGGGUGAUCGGCCACACUGGAACUGAGACACGGUCCAGACUCCUACGGGAGGCAGCAGUAGGGAAUCUUCCGCAAUGGGCGAAAGCCUGACGGAGCAACGCCGCGUGAGUGAUGAAGGUCUUCGGAUCGUAAAACUCUGUUAUUAGGGAAGAACAUAUGUGUAAGUAACUGUGCACAUCUUGACGGUACCUAAUCAGAAAGCCACGGCUAACUACGUG